CAUCGUUGAGCACCUCAGUCCUCUGAUGUGUUUGGCUGAGCUGGAUGGCAGGCUGGCUGCAGUCAGGGGAGAGAGGACAAACGAUCAGGUGUGGGUCCAGAGCCAGAAGAGUGGAGUGAUGGGGCAGGGCCUCCAGUGCUGGUUUCAGCAGGAGGAGGCAUCCAGGGCCGGGGGUGGAGUGGAGUAUUGAGGAGUGAAUAUGUGCCGUAUAAGUCUAUCCUUGAAUAUUCAUCCAUCUGGUAGAACUUCAUGACACGUUCUCUAACUUCAGCUGACAGUGGUUUUCCCUUGUUCACAUGCGGCUCACCAAGUAUUCCCUGUUGUUCUCUAACAGUCUUUGCUUUCCUCACCAUAUGAGUAGUGACAGAAAAUUCUUUAGCUACCUUUCUGAUACUCCAUGUAGCUGGGAGAAGUGUGAGGAUCUUGAUCUUUUCUUUUUUUGAUGCCACUUUACACUUCUCUUUCAGUAACUUUAGUAAUUCCUCCCACUCCUCACAUGUCUGGCAGUUAUCUGAACUCGAUGAAAGAAGUUCAUCAGUUGGCACAUCAGCCAAUCUGGCUGCCUUGGUCUGUGUGGCAUGAUGCAAGUCUUUAAUCUUCCGUUUCCAGUAUCCCUUUUUAUCGCGUGAAGAUGUAUAUU